rnacentral:lncRNA from 1 species
AUUUUUUUUCUAGGAGUUACACCUCUUUGAACUUAUUUGAUUUAAGGUACUACUUCAACAGUUUGUCAUCUCAACUCCUCUGAAACCACACAACAGAAUUUCAUGAAACUUUGUAGAUAAUAAGGACAUACAACGUAGAUGUGCAUAUCGACAGGAAAUUACGAUUCUUUUAUUUUUUCUAGGACUUGCGCCCCUUUGAACUUAUUUGCUUCAAUGUACUUCUGCAACAGUUUGUCAUCUCAACUCCUCUGAAACCACAC